UGAUUUCUCAGGACCACCCUCUCCCCCAGAUCAUGGAAAUAAUAGUAUUUUUAUUGGUAUAAUAUUUAUAUUAUACUUUAAACGUAGCAAAAGUUACCGGCUAGAGUGAGUAAGAAUCACGUUGUCACGGCUUGCUAGAAAUUGCCCAAUUUUACACUUAAAACAGUACUUACACUUUGUGAAAACGACUUUGUAAGCAUGGCAUUGCCGGGCUCAAUGACUAUUCAGUGCACUCAUUUGAAUUUGCAUAGACAGGGCUUGCUUGAACUGCUGCAUCAAAGAGAAAUGCUGAAUUGAGUCAUUUGUGAAUCACGGCUUAUUUUCUGUUGUUAGCUCAUCUGGAAUCCCAUGGUGAUCAAACAGCCUUUUAAAAUGUGUUAACACAUUGCUACUCCGUGUGUUUAGCAACAGCCCAGUCCCAAUAAAUUGUAGCUAGUCACCCGUUCUAAAGAGGUGGUAUUUUCUGCUCUGCAUCAAGUGGCAAGGACAAAACCUGGAGACGAAAACGUGGUAAAGUCCUGCUGUUCCAGGUUCUCUUUUCCACACUGUUUCCACCCUGAUUUCAUAGUGUUUUCUGUCUCCUUGCUUGCAGGGCACAGUCCAGCAGAAAAGCCUGACUUGUCUUCCAGGAGAGCUGGGACAGCUGCUCCUGCAGGACCAGAGAUGCUUUCCAGGUGCAGGAGUGGAGGGAAGCACAAGAAACCCACCCUCAUCAGCGAUGUAAGGCUCUUUCAAAACUGUGCUUCAUGGAUACCGGGAGAAACAUGGAUGUGGAGAAGAUGCAAAACCUCACAACUCCAGGAAGCGGAGCCUUAAAAACAUGAAUUGCUCUGCCAUGAAGCUUUGGAUGAAGUUGCAAGGGGGCAAUGCUGGAGUCUGUAGGAGGUUGGGUAAGGGGUGGAAAUCUGCACAGCUCAAAUGGGGGGCCGGCCACUGUGCACUGCGGCCCUGGGAGAGCUGCCCAGGCUGUCCCCACAGGAAAGAUCUCCCAUACUCAAGCACUAGGUCGAGGAUUGUUCUGCUACCGAAUUCGCCAAAAAUGAGACACACAGGGGCGCCAAAGUCUCAGGAAAAGAAACCUCACUGUGAGGCUUUUCGCGGCAGAGCUGCUUGUGGGCAGCCUCCUCCCCCACGAGCCCCAGCCUGCUUUCGUUUGCAACCACGCUGGGGCUUCACAGCCCCUGAACUUGCCUGUGGUAAGCAGGAUAGAUGUCUGCUUGCUGCUUUUAACCCUGCUCCUCUGGCCAGGAGUUCCCGAAGGAGGGACAAGAUGUGCCUGGGUGCAAGGGAUGUCACUCCCUCGGUAGAGUCAGGCAGCAUUUUGUCCUUCUGCCACAAGUGAGGCCAGUGAAAGAGUGAUUCCACCAGCCCUGGGCUGCCAUGAGAUUAUGCAUAUAGAGGACUGCUGUUCCUUCUGCUGCUCUUUGGGAAGAUCACACUGCAUCAGCCAGAGCAUGGCCUACAGUUUCUCUCACUUCAGAGGUUUUCUUCCACAGCAGUCAGGGAGCGAGGCGAUGCCCAGAACACAACUGAGUCAAGCAAGCCAGACCCAUGGUACAGGCUGCCAUGGAAAGACCAUGUUGUUCACUGCUUCAUUUUGCUUUGCUCUCUGCCGAGUGAUAUAUCUUAGUGACAAGUUGCUCUAGCCAUGCAGCACUGCUUUUAAUGCCGUAAAGCGUCAUGGGGUGUAGGCAUGUGCUAGGACAAUGGCUAGAGCUAAUGUUAAAGGCUAAAUGUAUUGCAGCUGCAUGCAAGCUGGUCUCGAUUAAAGACUACAGCCUUGGAAGUUUCUUGUUAAAAUAGUCACUUGGAGGUUGUUGUUUUUUGUGUGUGUAGUUGUGUGUAUAUUAAUAUUGUUAUGGACAUCAGAGCCUCCAACAGUUAUUUUCCAGUAAUAUGUCUUUUAGUAAUUAUUUGACACAUUAAAAUAUAUGCCUUGCAGACAGCAGUUCUAAUGUUAGCUUAGAUAAAUCAAAGUAGAUUUUAUUUAAA